GUAGGGGGCAAGCGUUAUCCGGAUUUACUGGGUGUACAGGGAGCGUAGACGGCUUUGUAAGUCUGGAGUGAAAGCCCGGGGCCCAACCCCGGGACUGCUCUGGAAACUGUGGAGCUGGAGUGCAGGAGGGGCAGGCGGAAUUCCUGGUGUAGCGGUGAAAUGCGUAGAUAUCAGGAGGAACACCGGCGGCGAAGGCGGCCUGCUGGACUGUAACUGACGUUGGGGCGCGAAAGCGUGGGGAGC
rnacentral:rRNA from 1 species